ACAUUUAUAUAUUUCGGAUAUAGAAAAUUCUUAGAGCAAUAUUAUUGGUUAAGAUCUUUUUUUUUUUUUCAAGAUUUGGGUAAAAUACUAUCAAUAAUGGUGGUCUAACACCCAAAUGAUGGAGAUGGAGUGUUCAUCCCUAUAGUAACUUCAGUUUAUGGCUCUAACGACUAGCGGAUAUGAGAAAUAAACUAAUUAACAUAAUUGUUUAAUAAUUUAACCCCAUAUAUACCUCUUUUUCUUUAG
rnacentral:lncRNA from 1 species